rnacentral:rRNA from 1 species
GAUGAACGCUGGCGGCGUGCCUAAUACAUGCAAGUCGAGCGAACAGACGAGGAGCUUGCUCCUCUGACGUUAGCGGCGGACGGGUGAGUAACACGUGGAUAACCUACCUAUAAGACUGGGAUAACUUCGGGAAACCGGAGCUAAUACCGGAUAAUAUAUUGAACCGCAUGGUUCAAUAGUGAAAGACGGUUUUGCUGUCACUUAUAGAUGGAUCCGCGCCGCAUUAGCUAGUUGGUAAGGUAACGGCUUACCAAGGCAACGAUGCGUAGCCGACCUGAGAGGGGUGAUGGCCACACUGGAACUGAGACACGGUCCAGACUCCUACGGGAGGCAGCAGUAGGGAAUCUUCCGCAAUGGGCGAAAGCUUGACGGAGCAACGCCGCGUGAGUGAUGAAGGUCUUCGGAUCGUAAAACUCUGUUAUUAGGGAAGAACAAAUGUGUAAGUAACUAUGCACGUCUUGACGGUACCUAAUCAGAAAGCCACGGCUAACUACGUG